UGUUUGGUGCUAGGAGAGAGUAAUUUCUACAUGUACACUAAAGGCAUGGGCAUACAGCCCUGUGAUGCCUUUUAAUUUUAAAUGGUUCAUCUAGCUCACUCUGAAGCUGGCAGCUGAACCUUCACAAAGAUCAGUGCUUGCUGAUGAGGUUUAGGACAGAGUUGUUCUAAUAGUUUAUGCCAUGUUAUAUUCAGUGCUUUCUGAGGAGCACUAGACCUCUGAAUGCUACCACAAUACAGCUACCUCACGGGACUGAUGCUACCAUGGUUGAUUGGUAUAACUGAAAAAGCAGGGUGGACAAGGGAAACUCCAGAGAAAAGAGGCAGAUGUCUCAUCACCAAAGAUGAUGUGAAGUAAAUAGUAAUACUUAGCAGUAUUUCUUGGGCAGAAUUUUGUUGAACAACAGCUACAUCUGAAUAAGAAUUGAAAAUACCUCAUUUAAUUCCCAAAAGCAUCGUUCUGCUCCCUUAGUGUCCAAAAAGUGUAAAUGUAGUUUCUUCUUUCUAGAGCAAACACAAAAGAGAUUAUUAGGACUGCUGUUCUUGGUGCCUGUUCAAGAAGAUUCAACUAGACCUUUAAGCUACCUCUCGUGAAAGCUGCUUGUUACCAAAAAACAGCCCAAGAGCUUCCCAUCCUAUUAUAAAUUACCCAUAGUGAUGCACCAUGCUGCAGUGUAGCCAGCCAGGCAAUUAUAGCUUAUUGGCUAUAGAGAGUAGAGAGUCCUGGCCUCUUCACUAAGGUGAGAUACUUGAAAGGAGGUUCAUACAAGUGUCCUGCUCCUGCUACAUCUGCCAUGAUAUCUUUACACCAUCCUUGAAUGUUGGUGAUCCCAAGAAUUGAUUGCCUCUGUACCCUAGAAGGCAGGACACAGUAACAUCUCAGUCUCGCCCUCAUGUUGCAUCCAUUAUGCCUGCCUUCCUUUCUCCUGGACUAAGGGUAAAUGAGAGACUUGCUAGGGGUGCAGAUACAGUUGCUUUCCAGACAGUAAAAGAGGAUGUGUGGCAACAGCUCCCGAAAGGAGGGGCAGUUAGUGCUCAUGCUCUGCCUGCUUGGAUGGAGAUCCAGCCCACCUCCCUCCUCCCCAGCCGCACAGAGGACUGCUGAAACUGCUGGCAAGGACUGUCAGCUUCUGAUCUCACUGUCUAUGGCCCGACUCAUGGCAAACUGCCUGCUCAGGACUGUGAGCCCAGGCUCUGGCAGGGAUUACAGUGGUGGUUUUAAGUGGUGAACUCGUCCCAAUUUGUCGUUGUUAUGGUAGAAACUGGAAAUAAUCUUAAAGUUGAAAUUGUAAUCACAUACCUUCAGUACAGAGGCAUUUUGUGUACCGGCCCAUAUUGUUCAUGCCUUAAUAUAUCCAUACUAUUCAGCUUAAAAAACCAAAAAGCAAAAUCCAACAUGCAAAGGUGUCCAAAGAACACUGUAUUUGGUACUCUCUGGUUUGGUUUUCUCCUUUGGGCUGAGGCGUUUAAUUCAAUUUCUUACUCAGAUUACAAACUCGGCUGUACUGAGAAUACACAACAGUCGUUUCUCCCCUUUUUAUUACUUGUCACUCUGUUUUCUGCAAUCAUGUUCCUCUUGUUGCUGACAGGAUGACAAUGGGCUUAAUAAACCCUCAAACACAUGGAAAAGCUCAUUUGAAUAGGUAUUACGAUGCUGUAAUUUCACAGCUUUUUACAGGGCAUCACCAGCCCCUGGGAAGAGAUGUAUGCAGGAGGAACGUUGACAGAUUUUGGCCUGUUGCUGGGAAAUUCUUGACAAGGAGCAGAGCAGUCAGCAGGAAGAGAAGACCCAGGGCUGGGAAAACAAGGAAGCAAGUCACUUAAUCCUGGUGUGAGUUUCUGAACAAAUGCUAUGGAGAAGGUUUAUCAAACUCACCAUUCUUUAAGAUCCUUUUUACCUCCUCCGCCAAGGAAUGUAAAGGAGGUUGUCCUCUGUUAAAGCCAGGAAAGCAUGGCUUAGUCUUCAGAGACUCUCAGGGAGAUUCUACAAUUGCUUCUUUUUUGACUUCUUAACAUUGGAAGAAAAUAAAUAGCAAGGAAAGAGAAAGUUGUUCUUCACCAGGGUUUAAUCAGUGAAGUUCAAGACAAUUUCCCCUUGACUGUGAUAGUUACUAUAACAUCACAGCCAUCACUUCCAUGGAUAUAACCCCUCCUGUUCAUCCUUAAACACAUCAUGUAUUUAUGAUGCAGAAUACUCCUGACUCCAACCUUGGCACUGUUGAGGCUAAGUGGCUGGUAGCAUGUUAAAGGGCUUUCUCAUAUACCUCCCAGAAGAGCACACCUCUGACCUGUUUGAUGAACUCCCAUGAUCUCUUCUCAUGAAGAUUCUCCAGAUCAUUACCCAGGUUAGCUCUCCCCUGCUUGCCUACCAGUCACAGGAUUCAAACGAGCCUCAAAUUAUGCUGAGAAUAAAUGGAGAUAAACAGCAAACCCAAGGAGACAAAUAAGACAAACACAUUGAAAAGGAACUAGCAAGCGAAAUAGGAUGUGACAGGCUCAGGAAGAUGAGAGGGAAUGAUUUCCUGGAAUGCAGCAGCAAUUUCGUGCCAGCAGCGAUGCGUCGGCUGUACUUGACCUUCAAUAACCUUUAUCCCCAUCUCCUACUGCUGCUCCUACAGAUUCUCAGCCUGGUUCUCCUCCUUCACUGCUGCUCAUGCAGUUUUCCUGGCCAGAUACCUUAUCUAACUGGAACAGAGGCUGCAUUUUCUGAAAUUGGGCUCUUCCUGUGGAGGUGCUGUAGUCUGUGUGUUUCCUCACACCUUCAUGGAGUGGGAUGCAGCCUGGGGGCUCUGCAGUGGCAUGCAGAGGCAAGUCCUCUGUGGAUCUUCUUGAUAGCUUUGACCUGCUAUUGUUACGCAUGGAAAUUAAUGUCCAACAUUAACAGAAUGAUCCCUUAGGGAAAAUCACUCACAAUCUUUUCUUGAGACCUGUUAGAGGGAUGAUAUUUGUUGGGUUUGGCUGGGAAUUUUCUGGCAAAAUAGAUUUUUCCCUGGAAGGUGCCAGUUCCUCAACAUCAAGUCAUAUAAGAAAAGCAUGAAUAAAUGCCAAUAACUUCUUGGAAGAUGCUCCUUGGGGUUUAAAUGUCUGGAUUUGACAGGUCUGAAUUCGGACAGAAAUAAUUUGUCCAGUUUGAACUAUCUGAUGAGUAGAAUUCCAAAAUGUGUC